rnacentral:lncRNA from 1 species
GUAAUGAUGAAGCCCCUGCUCUGGUCCAAGCUACCGGUGAACAGCGCCCAGCGGGCCGGGCCCCCAGCCUCGCUCCUAAACAUACCCCCAAGCCCGCCGUGAGAACUCAGCGAAGAGUAAAGGCUGGAGAAAGUUGCGUGUCUCAGGCUAAGCAGAGCAAAGUGGGGUGAGGGCUUCGCCGCUAGGAACAGAGAUGCCCUUAGGGAGCCCCCUGAUGGAAGAGCUCUCUGCUUAAGAAGGUCACCACGGCCUUACACUCAGGAGAUGUUGCUGAGAUGGGUGCAUUAAAGUUUAGGCUUUCCAGAGUUUAUUUUGCUAACAACUUGAAAGGAAAAAAGCUAACUAGAGAACUGACUGGUCUUAUUUGUUUUAGAUUCUGGGCUUUACUAAGACUUCCUACACUCAAUCUCUGGACUAUAAAUGCUGGG